CACGUAGGCGGACUGGAAAGUCAGAGGUGAAAUCCCAGGGCUCAACCUUGGAACUGCCUUUGAAACUCCCAGUCUUGAGGUCGAGAGAGGUGAGUGGAAUUCCGAGUGUAGAGGUGAAAUUCGUAGAUAUUCGGAGGAACACCAGUGGCGAAGGCGGCUCACUGGCUCGAUACUGACGCUGAGGUGCGAAAGCGUGGGUAGCAAACA
rnacentral:rRNA from 1 species